GGGGGUGACCGGCUUUGACGGUCUGUACCUUGAAAGACGUGCGACGCAGUGCACGCUCGAUGCCACUUAUAAAAUCCACGAGCAAACAAACUUGCCAAGAACACUCUUGCAAGCGCGAAGAAGUCGCCUUACUUCGGUAAGGUCGGUGAUCUCGCGUUCGCCUACGCGACGGCUCGCGGCUAACGCCCCCUGUCUCGCCUGGUGCGACGUUCAUCCUCCCCGGAUUUCGCAGCGGGAGGGAUGGGCGGAAUUACCUGCGAAAUCGAUGCCCGGGAUCCCGACCGGCGCAUCUAAAUAAGGGAUCGGAAAGGAGCGGUUUCGUCCUGAUUCCUCGCGCCCUUCCCUAAAACUAAUCAGGACUAUGCGUCGUAGAAGCGCUUUUAAGGACGGGCUCGGACCGGGGUUCAAUUCCCCGCACCUCCACAA
rnacentral:tmRNA from 1 species